ensembl:lncRNA
CGGGAUUAAUAAAGUGUUCUGAUUCUGAUUCUGAUUCAAAAGUAUUUUGGAAUUGGAAUAAUGUAUUUUGUAACUGCAGUACACACAAUACUAAUUUUAAACAAUUUUGUCCAGGUUCCUUGCCACCGGGGACUCCUUCAGGACCAUCGCAUUCAGUUUUCGAGUCGGUGUGUCCACAGUGAGCCAUAUCAUCCCCCAGGUAGCGACGGCCAUCUAGGACUGUCUAGUGGAUGAUUUCAUGGCUUUGCCUUCAACUGCAGACUGGCGGUCCAUCACAGAGGGAUUCCAGGAGCGCUGGAACUUCCCUCUCUCCCUCACAGUGGAGGUUGUAUCUGCGCUCCAUGGAGCUCCGUCCUGCUGUGGUGGAGCCGUUGCAAGGCCUGGGUCGUGUAGUAGCGAACAACUCCUCCAGAGAGGCUGUCCUGGUGAGGGAGAAGUUCAUGGCCCACUUCUCGGCGGAGGGAGCUGUGUCUUGGCAACCAAAGGAGUAGCCUGUUUGUUUUUUUGUUUUUUUUUCUGUGUCCCGUUUGGAUCUUUAGCCAUCAGAAUUGUUGUCUUAAGGCCAAGAAAGAUGCCAAGCGGAUUUAUUUUACCAAGUGGAUCAUCAUGGCCUUGCCAUAUUGGUCCAUUUGAUUGACCUUUAUUAUAAUUAUGAAUUUAUUUUAUUUUCAGUUGCUACAAACGGGACAGACAUGACUGGGGGAUAGGACAGGGAGAAAGAAUGAAAGAAAGAGAGGGAGAGAAAGAAAACCAAAGGGGAGAAGAGACGGUGAGAAGGGGGGGAAGAAAGAAAAAAACAAACAAACAAAAAAACAAAACACCUGGGUCACCUGUAUGGAGAAAAAAAACAGAAGAGAAAGCAAACAACAAAGAGCAACAUAAUAAAAAAAACAGCACCAUCACAAUAAACUAGCUAGCAGUAGAUAUCAGUAGAUACUAAAUAAUAAACGAUAUUGUGCAGCACAUAAGAUAGACAGCGCGCAAUGUGCUUUGAGGCAGCAGCCAAGAAAGCUGUAGUCUGCGUCUGUGAAUACCCGUGUGUACACCUGUGUGGAUCAGCAUGCUUGCAUUCCAAAGGUUUCUCCAUGUAACGAUCUGCUAGGGAGUGUGGGGAGCCUCAGCCCCGUCCACCAGGAUAUGAAGCAGGUAUGGAGGAGAUCAAAACUCCAGGCAUCCAGAGGCCCCCAGAACACAAGAGACCAAGGAAAACCAACAGAGGAGCAGCCGCGCCACUGUCCCAGAAAGAGCUGAGGAGAGUCCCAGAUGAGGGCUCACUCAGCAGCCGCGGAGCAGAAGCCAGGGGGAGUUGCAGUGACGCGCCCGUGAGCUCCGCCGGCAGCCAGCUGUGCCUGAGUGACCAAGCCCCAGGCCGAGAGGCCGGGGGCACCCCACCUCCGAAGUGGCCCGAGCGAGCCCCAGGCUCCAGGCCCCGAUAAGCGGCCGCCAAGGAGUGAGCCGGUGUGUACCUGGACGCCCACCCCCAGACACAAAGAACCACCAACGCACCGACACCUGAGGGAGUCCGCC